rnacentral:misc_RNA from 1 species
GAAUCUAAGGCUCUGCCUUGCGUUGACGGUGUCCCGGUAGGGAACCGCCGAAACACAUCGGCGCCCCCUCUCGGUCCGAAUCGCAGCGAAUAUGCGAGAAAGGCUGGGAGGAGGCGGCCAGUCCAUCCGAAA